GACGAACGCUGGCGGCGUGCUUAACACAUGCAAGUCGAACGGAAAGGCCCUGCUUUUGUGGGGUGCUCGAGUGGCGAACGGGUGAGUAACACGUGAGUAACCUGCCCUUGACUGUGGGAUAACUUCAGGAAACUGGGGCUAAUACCGGAUAGGAGCUCCUGCUGCAUGGUGGGGGUUGGAAAGGUUCGGCGGUUGGGGAUGGACUCGCGGCUUAUCAGCUUGUUGGUGGGGUAGUGGCUUACCAAGGCUUUGACGGGUAGCCGGCCUGAGAGGGUGACCGGCCACAUUGGGACUGAGAUACGGCCCAGACUCCUACGGGAGGCAGCAGUGGGGAAUAUUGCACAAUGGGCGGAAGCCUGAUGCAGCAACGCCGCGUGCGGGAUGCCGGCCUUCGGGUUGUAAACCGCUUUCGCCUGUGACGAAGCGUGAGUGACGGUAAUGGGUAAAGAAGCACCGGCUAACUACGUG
rnacentral:rRNA from 1 species